UCCUCCAAUCUCACCCUCUCACUACCCAUUUCUUCUCCAAACCCAUAAUUCUCAAUCUCAAACUGCUCAGCCAACACUUUCCAUAAAUGCUUCCACUUAAAAACAUCUCCAUUGGUGCAAUUGAAAGCUUCGUUUCUUGCAUUAGGAGCCACUGCCGCCCAAAUUUCCUGCUCCGCAACCAACUCUGCGUCUGAAAAUUCUUGGAAACCUUCCCAAGCAUCUCUAGUCCCAUGAAAUACAAGAGGAGCACCUUCGUGUUUACAAAUAGCUGCGUACACGCAGAGAGUGCCUAUAAUAUGCAUCAAACUAUAAGGUGAAAACCCAAAUAUUCCGGAAGGCCGGUGUAUGGACCAAGCUAAGCCCUCUCUUUUGUCAACUUCUUCAAACAAUAUAUCUUCCUGAUUAUAGUAAAAAAGCGGCACGUUUAGUCUUGGCAAAUCCUCAGUAAAAGGCGGAUCGUGAGACGGUAUCUUGCCAAUACACUCGAAUGGACCCACGUAAUGUUUGCCUCCCGUUUGGAGACAGAUGUGGCGGACAUUAGGCGCAUUCGGGAUUACAGAACGGAGCACGUUACGAAACAUGGCGCCGUUGAUCUUGCAAUUCUCGGCUUCAGUGGGACGGCUGGCCCACGUCACAUAGAAGAUGUGGGUGACGUCAGUGAGUUUUGAGAGCUUGGCUUGCGUAUCAUCCCGGUCGGAAAUGUCGCAUUGGAUGUAAUCAAUAGGGUACCUGGCGUUCCAAUUAGGCCUGGGGCGUCGGGCCACCCCGUGGACCUUCCACGGGCCACCGGGGGUAUCUGGUCGGGGCAAAAUCUCAGCUAGGCUGUUGCCUACAAUUCCUGUCACGCCUACUACAAGUCCCACGUUCUGGUAGUCUUGAGGUCGCGCAUCUUCUUCCAAUUUGUUCUGUACAGCGAAAAUUAAACAAACAUUAUUUUAAAUAUCAGCAUGUUACGUGUAUGUAUAAGCUUUUCAAGUGAAGAGAGACAAUUAGGGGGUCGAUCUUUACCUUAGCAGCGCCAAUACUACCUGCCCACCGCCAGCUCAUUUUUUGAUGAAUCUGGAAAAUUGAUGAUAAGUUUAGAGACUGCUUAUCUAUAAACAAUUAUACGAGCACUUUCUAGAAGGUAAUUUUCAGUUGAAGUUAGAUAAUGUGAAUAUGUGAUCAAUAAUGAAAGAUCCAAUAUCAUAAUGUGUGGUGAAAUGUGGUUCCGGCUAAAGGCCAAGCUUCACACUGUCAUUGUCAGUCAGUUUGCUUUCCCGCAGUUUUCAAGCUCGGUGCCAACUCAAAUAAAUAAGUAGGCCAGUGUCGGUGACCAUUGCAAUAAAAUCGCCCUAUGAUUAUUACGGAAGCUUCAGUACGUGGACCCUGAGUUUUAAACCUAAAAUCAAAUAUAUGUCUCUUUACUUUUAUAAUUUGCUUAAGGCACACCAGUCAGUUUUGGGACAAAAAGAGUCUUCGAUUUGUAUUUUCAUGGAAAUAAUCAAAACAUUUGAUAUUGAGGUACUGUAACUUUGAAAUUAUAAGUACAAUUAAAAAAAUAAUUGUAACUAUGAAUUAAAAAUUAAUAAUUUCUAGUAAAUAUGACUAUUAAAUAAUAAUUUUGAUAAAAAUAAUAUAUAUAUUAUAGUUUAUUCGUCAUACAGGUAUGAGAUUAAAUUAAUUUAAUUUAUAAAUCAAAGCUAGUAUAUACUAAAUAGUUGUAACUUUUAAGCUGUAGCUACUUAACUUUAAUAUCAAAAUAGGCCUUAGAGCCCGUUUGGAAUUAUUUUUAGGAGUUCCCAAAAGUAAUUUUGAAAAAGUAAAUGUCAAUUUUGGUGUUCGGAAAAUUUUUAAAAAAAUUACUUUUAGCAAGAUCACCCCAUCCUAUAGCAAGUUUUUCAAAAUAGGGAUGCAGUAUCUUUUUAGUAUCGGAUUUUGAAAAUCAGUUUUAUAUUUAAUACAAUUUCAUAAAUCUUCAAAUAUAUUAUAAAAAUCUAAAAUUAUCCUUAUUAAUUACGAAAUAAAAUAAUUAAUUUUAAAGAGAUUGUUAUCACCAAUUAUAUUAAGAUAACCAAAUAAAAUCAAUAAUUUAAAAUAUUUAUUUUAGUUAUCAAUUAUUAUAUAUAUACAAUAAAAAAUAUUUUUCAUACAUGUUUAUAAAAUGCGUAAAUAAAUUAAAUAAAUUUUAUUCAACAUUGUGUCCAAUUAAUUUAUUUAUAUUCUUACAACAGUUUAAUAGUAAUAUGAUUAUAGAAGCCAAAACAUCAAUUUUUUUGGUUAUCAAAUGGUGUAAAAAGUCAAAUGAACACAAAAUGCAUUUGUAGUCUAUUGAAAUAUCAAAAUUGUAAAUACACAUAGGAACCUCGUACAAGCGAUUGUGAAACUCGAUAUAUGAAUAAAUGAAGAAUUCUUUUUUUUCUCUUAAAUUUUAGGAAAUAGUUAAAGAUGUUCAUAUGAAUGAAUGGAAGUUUUUUUUUUCUCAUCUCAUUAAUUCAUGUGAAUAUCCAUGAAGUUUAUUUGAAUGAACAAUUUUUUUUUCUCAAUAAAUAUGCCAUAAUGAAAAAAGUUUUGGCUCUUGUGUAAAAUUUGAAAAUCAUAAAAAAAAUAUAUCAAUAAAAUAAUUCUACAUAAUCUAUGCUCACCAAUUAUUAGGGAGGGUAAAUGCUCAUUUAAUCCAUAUAUUUUGACAUAACUAACUUUUCAACCAUAUUAUUGUUGGAAAAAAAAAACAGUCCUUUGAUUUGUAAUUUUUAGCUAGUUAUACAAAUUUUGCAAGUUUCUAAAUCUCACCUCCACUAGGCAAACUUACGUAAAUAAUCAAAAGAGAGACGUCAUAUUUAAUUUAGAAGUUGCUCUCGUUUAGGCCCUAUUUGAUAUUGAAAUGUUGUAGCAUAGUAAGAAAAAAGAAAAACAAAGUUGCAACUAUUAAAAAAAAUUUGAUAAUGUAUAAUAAAAUAAUUAUUAAAUAAUAAUUUGACAAAAAUAAUAAAGACACUAUAGGUUUUUUCAUACAAGUGUGGGAUCAAAUCAACUUAAUUUCUAAGCUACAAUAGCUAGUGUUUACUAAAUACUUUGAUACUGUAACUUUUAAGAUACAGCUGCCCAACCUUAGGUUUAAAUCGUUUAUAAGGUAAUAAUAGACAUGACUCUAGAAGCUAAAACAUCAAUUUCUUUUCUUUUUUUAAUUAUCAGAUAGUGUAAAACAUCAAACGGAAACAACUAAAUAUGUGAUCCUAUUGUUGUGAAUAUAUCAAAAUUAUCCUCAAAUUAUGAAUCUCUGCCAUUUACAAAAAAGAAUUUAGUACAAGUGAAUGUGAAAGUUGAUAUGCAAAUAAAUGAAUAAUUCUUUUUUUGAAACGACCCGUCCCGCACCCCAGGGCGAGUCUAUCUAAACUCGUAUAAUCGAAUCGAUAAUAAUUAUGAUAUCUAAGAAUUCUAUCAAAAAUUCGACAGAAUCUCCCCUAUAAAUAAAACAUCCCCAAACCUGCAAUUUACAAAAUAAUUCAAUAUCCAUCCAUCCUUCAUAACCAACUUCUCAAGUCAACAUAUCAAAUAUCACCCAAAUCAUUCUAAUAUUAAAAUACAAUGGUUAUCCUUAAUUACAAAAUUAAUAAAUAAAUACAAUUCGCAAUAUCCCAAAUAUCAAAAUAUUAAAUCUACGACUCCUAGCACCAUCACAUGGCCACAAUUUCAAAUCUAACUAUCGUUGCUGGGUCGACUGAUAUACCUGCAAAUCUCCUGUGAGGGGGAAAAAUAUAAUAAAAAUUGGGUAAAUAUAAAACUCAGUGAGCUCAGUGAGUGUAUAGUAGUUUUUGAAAAAAUAAAUUUAUUUAAAAUAAUUUAAACUUUCUCAAAUCAAUUUCAUCAAAAUAUCAUAAGAACUUAUAUAAACAUAUUCAAUUCAAAUCAUUCAUUGAAAUAACUAUAUUACAUAAAUCUGCAUAAAAUCAAUGAAAUCAUAAUAAUUAUAAUAUCAAAUGCUGAAUAUAAAAAACUAUCAUCAAACAAGUACCCAGGGAAAUGAUCUCAUCAUAUCCGGACCUCGACGGACGGGCAAUCAGGGAACCAUCAUGCCCUGGAGCUACAACGGAUAGACGGGGAAAUCUCAUCUCAUAUCUCAUGUAUUUGAACAUCUGUAUCUCUAUAAUCAUCAUACUGCAUGCAUAAGCCCCCAAAAGGCAAAAGCGCCCAAACACACGGCCCAAAGCCUCUAUGUGUGUUCAGACGGGCCCCAAAGGCCUCUAUCUCAUCUCAUAUGUAUCUCUGUAUUCAUCUCGUAUUAUCUGUAUCUCUGUAUCUGGAGAGGAAGGGUACUGUCCAAUGAUUUUUCAAACAACAUUUUAUACACAUGUACAUAAACAUAUAAUCACAUCUGAAAUCUCAUUUUCUUUUUAUUCAACAUAUCUCAAAUCCACUCAAUUCUAAUAUCAUGCAUCUACUAAAAAACAAUAAUAAAAUCAUUAAUCAAACUCAUUCUUAAUAACAAUAAAUAUCAACACACAGAUAAAAAUCAAUUUUCUAGAAAAUCAUUAAAUCGAAGCAUCAAAUACUUAUUUAUCAAAACAUACUGCACUGUAUCAUAAAAUUAGCAUAUACUAUGAAAAUAGAUUUUGUAUAUUCCACUCACAGUGACGAAGUCUAGACUCGGUAUCAACAGUGUCUGCGGGUUAAUUCUCAUUCACGGAUCCUCCUAAUUAAGGAAAUGACAUAAUUAUUCUCCAUAAAUUUGAAAUACAACUAAUUUUACAUAAUAAUUCUCGAAGCGAAUAUCUAUCAACAAUAAACUAUUCCCACAUGCACAAAAUUACCGAAAUACCCCUACAUGCCAAAAUUACCAAAAUGCCCCCAACAUCAUUAUUUUACCAAAUUAUCCUCAGAAUCUUCAAUUAAUAAAUUGUCCUCAAUUCAGAUCACGAAAUUAUCACAAUGUCAGAAAUUACGAAAUUACCCUCGGCACGUAAAAUUACCAAAAUGUCCUUAGCGACUUAAAUUACCAAAUUACCCUCGAAAUAUCAAAUUACCUCACUGCCCUAACAUAAAAUUACCAAAUUAUCCACUGAUUCCAUAAAUUACAAAUUCACCCUAAAUUUUUAUGAAUUUACCAAAUUGCCCGUACCGGUCAACGGUGACCGGACUUCAGUCAACGACAACGGGAAGCUUAGGUCUGAUAGUUCAGACCUCGGUGAGUCCAAUGGUGGUGCCCGUGAGUCCCCACGCGCGGCGAUAGCGGUAGAUCGAAGCUCCAAAAUCUGUGAGCUUUCCGGUGGUCGUUUGCAGCAAAGACGGCGUCCCUGGUGGUCGUGGUCAGUCGGAAAGUGACGAGUGUGAGUUAAGGAACAAGAUCCGAGUGGUGGCGGGAUUAAAGGCGGCGAAAACAGGUCUUGGCCGCGAAUUUUCGAGCUCAAUCGCCGGCUUUCUGGUAGGUUCCCGGCGGCGAGGAUGGCAGGGUUAUGACGGCCGGCUUCCAAGCUUCAUAUCGGUACCAAGCUCGGCCGGUGCGGUGGCCGGAAUCGCGAGAUCCAUUCGGGUCAAAGUCGCGGGUCGGGUCGGAUUCGCGGGUCAAACCGGAUCAAUUCUCUUUCUCUCUCUCUCUCUCACGUGCCCCUAGGGUUGGCAGAAAAGCCCGGGCCGGCCCAGGCCCGCGGGCUUUAAGCCCGGCCCGUGGCUUGAAAGUAUGGGUAAGGGCUCAUAAUUAAUAAAGCCCAUAACAUAUGGGCUCAGUCAAGGGCCUAAAUGAAAAGUCCGGGCUUAAGCCUGGGCUUUAUAAUAAAUAAUAUAAUAUAUAUAUAUUAUAUAUUAUGGAUAAGAGCUUUAUAUAUAUAUAUAUGUAUAUAGUUCAGGUACCCCAUACCCCAUAUUAGGUAUGGGGUACCUAAUCCAUUUUAAUGCUUUAUUAAGAGGUUUAUAAUUAAUAACCAGUCUUGGUGUUCCUCUUUCAAAUGUAUUAGAGAAUUAUAUUUAAGUUUUUAGCCUAUUGUAGUAUUAUGUAUUGGUUAAUUAUGUUUUGAAAAUUUAUAAUUUUAUGGCCGUACAGCAGAAUUUAAAAUUUCGUAAAAGCCCGGGCUUGGCCCGCGGCCCGGCCCAGGCCCGUCAAGGCCCGGCCCGCCCAAAGCCCGCUCAACUUGGAUGGGCUUUGAGAGGGCCUGGACUUAUUUAACAUUAUAUGGGCCUGGUCCUGGGCUUGGCAAAGCCCGGCCCAGGCCCUUAAAUUGCCAACCCUACGUGCCCCCUCUCUCUUUCCUUUUUUGGAAACCAGCUUCCCACUUUCCAUUUAUAGAAACUGGCUUCUUUUUUUUUUUUUUGCACUUAAGCUUAAUACAAAUUAAGCUAAUACCGGACCGUGAGGAAAAUAAAAUCCGACUACCUGAGCUUUUAAUCGGGCUCAAUUUAUCUCGAUUUAAUGUUGUGAUAAUUUUAAAAUUAAUAUCGAAGAGGAAAAAUUAAUUCAUGCACUUAAUUAGGAAAAAUCAAAGUGCAUAUGUUACAUUUUUAUUUUAAUUUCAAGAAAUAGCUAACUUGUUCAUAUGAAUGAAUUGAAGUUUUUUUUUUGGGCUUUCUCAUCUCAUUAAUUCGUGUGAACAUUCAUGAGGGUUAAUUGAAUGAACAAAAUUUUAUUUUCUCAAUAAAUCUGCUAUCAUAAAAAACGUUUUGGCUCCUGUCUAAAAUUUGAAAAUCGUAGCAAAAAGUAUAACAAUAAAAUAAUUCUACAUAAUUUAUACUCACCAAUUAAUCAGGAAAAUAUAUUAGAUAUAACUUUGAUGGAAUCAACAAAGUGAGAUAGAAAGAAGAAAAAGUGUCUAAAGCUUCAAUUUUGUUAGUUUUUUAUGAAUGUCUCACCAUGUUAGGAAAUCAAUAGUGUGUGUGUGUGUAAAAUGAUGAGAUUGAGAAAAAAAAAAUUAAGGUUUAUGGUAUGGAUGUGAUAAAUGGGUUUGUUUAAUUAAUAUUAACAUCUUUGUUCAAUUGUUUAAGGUUUUCCUUUAUAGUUACUUCAAUUUUGGGUAAUUUAGGAAUAAUAAGUUGUUAUUACAAAAUUUAUAUUCAAAGUUGUUUCAAGGGUGAAAAAUCUAUACCCUUAUAAUUUUGUGUGUUAUGGCUCAUCAAGUGUGUUGUAUUACAAGUGAGUGAUUCAAAUUCAAAUAGAUAUUUUCAUUGGAUGUGUUUUUCCACACUAGGGUGGGACUAUAUUGCACAAAUGGAUGGAGAGUGCAGACCCAUAUUCGGCUUACAUAAAUUUUUGUUGGGCUGGAUUAUAUCCAAACAUGAUGCGAACGACACAACAUAAAUCAAACGCGGCUCCCCCUUGAGGUUAGUCAGCUUUGCAUUACAUUUAUUUUAUAUAAUGAUAACAAUUUAAAUGCAUUUAUCAAUUUUAUUAAUAUUGAAAUACACUUUAUUUUAAUUUUCUUUUCUUACCCUUUUCUUUCUCUCUCCUCUCUCUAAGUAAUGCUCUCCGCUUGAAAAAUUUUGGAUUAUUCAAUUUCAAUCGGUUAUAUUUUUACAAUCAACUUUUUCUUUUUCUUUUUCUUUUUCUUUUUCUAGUCCUGUGAAUCGGUUGGUUAGAAAGGAAGUGGUUUAGAAGAGGAACCACUUAGAAAAGCUUUGGUCUUGAAUUAGGCUUUAAUUGAAAAUUGGGUUUAGUUAUAACUUGAAGGCAUGUAAUUAGAAACGUAUUAUGAAUGUUUUUCUCCAGGUCGACAAUUUAGCUAAGUAUAUUUAUUGAACCCAUCAACAAAUAACAAUAACACAGCAAUUUUUUUUUCCCUACCUGAAAUGAAGCUUUUCAUUGAUUAACAAACAAAAGUUACAUUUCUUCAGCAGAACAAUCACAGCUUGAACUAAUAAUUGAAAAUGUUGCUAAAUCGUGACUUUUCAAUAGCUAAGGCACCAAAUCCCAAAAAAAAAUAAUAAUAAGGAAAUUACUUAAGUCACAGGGCUGUGACUUUUUUUUUUUUAAUUUAACUCAUUAACAAUAACAAAGAAAAACAGGAAAUUACUUAAGUCACAGGGCUGUGACAAUAAUAAUAAGGAAAUUACUUAAGUCACAGGGCUGUGACUUUUUUUUUUUUAAUUUAACUCAUUAACAAUAACAAAGAAAAACAUCUCAUUUCCACGUAAAAUGAAACUUUUCGUUGAUUGGAAAGCAAAGAACAAAGAAAAGCUGUAUUUCUUGCAGCCAAACAAUCACAGCUUGAACUAUCAAUAAAAUGUUUAAGUAAGGCACCAAAUUCAAAAAAGAAAAUUACUUAAGGCACAAUCCUGUGACUUUUUAGCCUACCAAUCCAAGCAACGAAGGAAUUCUUAGAAUUCCUGAAACCCAGGAACCCGUGCUCCUUACUCUUGUUCAUGCUAACUGAAUAACCCGCACCAACAUUCAUCACCAUAUCUGCAUACGACCAAACAGCGACCUCAUUCAAUUUUGUUGGCUGCAACUGAUUCUCUCUCACAAUCUCCUCCCACACACUUUCUUUACCUUUCAUAAUUUCCUCCAAUCUCACCCUCUCACUACCCUUUUCAUCUCCAAACCCAUAAUUCUCAAUCUCAAACUGCUCAGCCAACACUUUCCAUAAAUGCUUCCACUUAAAAACAUCUCCAUUGGUGCAAUUGAAAGCUUCGUUUCUUGCAUUAGGAUCCACUGCCGCCCAAAUUUCCUGCUCCGCAAUCAAAUCUGCAUCCGAAUAUUCUGAGAAGCCUUCCCAAGUUUCUUUCGUCCCAGGAAAUAGUAAAGGAAAACCUUCAUGUUUGCAAAUAGCAGCGUACACGCAGAGAGUGCCUACAAUAUUCAUCAAACUAUAAGGUGAAAACCCAAAUAUUCCGAAAGGUCGAUGUAUGGACCAAGUCAAGCCUUCUCUUUUUUCAACUUCUUCAAACAAUAUGUCUUCUUGAGUAUAGUAAAAAAGUGGUACGUUUAACCUCGGCAAAUCCUCUGUAUAAGGAGGUUCGUGAGACGGUAUCUUGCCAAUACACUCGAAUGGACCCACGUAAUGUUUGCCUCCCGUUUGGAGACAGAUGUGGCGGAGAUUCGGUGCGUUCGGGAUUACAGAACGGAGCACGUUACGAAACAUUGCACCGUUGAUCUGGCAAUUCUCGGCUUCAGUGGGACGGCUGGCCCACGUCACGUAGAAGAUGUGGGUGACGUCAGUGAGUUUUGAGAGCUUGGCUUGUGUCUCUUCCUGGUCAGAAAUGUCGCAUUGGAUGUACUCAAUUGGGCGAUUGGCAUUCCAGUCGGGCCUCGGACGUCGGGCAACUCCGUAGACCUUCCAUGGGCCACCAGGAGUAUCCGAUCGGGGCAUUAUCUCUGCUAGGCUGUUGCCUACAAUUCCUGUCACGCCUAAUAUAAGUCCCACAUUCUGGUAAUCUUGAGGUCGCUGCUUAUCUUCUUCCAAUUUCUUCUGUACAAGUAAAAAUAAAACAAACAUUAUUUUAAAUGUCAGCAUGUUACAUGUCCACUAACUUAACUACAGAGUUGAUGUUUACCUUCGCAGCGCCAAUAUCACCCGCCCACCACCAGCUCAUCUUUUGGUGAAUUUGAAAAUUGAUGAUAGGUUUGGUUUCUGCUUCUAGUUUUAUUUAUAGAGAGGAGUUGACAACUGUGUAAAUAGACUUUCACAAUGUUUUGAAAUAGUUUACAUUAUCAUAAACAUCUAACUCUGUUCACACAUAAAGAGGAGACUGCCAAUUAUACAAGUACUUUCUAGAAGGAAAUUACGUAUUCAACUGAAGUUAGAUUAUGUGAACCAUAUUGAAAGAUCUAAUGCAAUAAUGUCUGGUGAAAUCUAAUGCACUAAUGUGUGGUGAAAUGAGGUUCCUGCUGAAGGCCAACUUCGUACUAUCAUUGUCAGUCAAUUUGCGUGCCCACGGUUCUUCAAGCUCGGUGCCAACUCAAAUAAAUUAGUAGGCCAGUGUCGGUGAUCAUUGCACUAAAAUCGCUCUACGUUUAUUACGGAAGUUUCCGUAGGGGGCCCAGGUUUAAACCUAAAAUCAAAUACGUCUCUCAAUUUUUAAAUUGCUUAUGGCACAGUAGUCUAUAACUUUUCAGCUUUCAAUAUCAAUUUUGGAAAAAAAGGGGGAUUUAAAUUUACUGUCGAGCUGCUAUUUUUACUAAUAUUUUAGAAGCAUAUGGUUGAUAGUUAUUGGAUACAAAUAUAAAACUAAUUGAAUCUUAACUAUAUAUUGUUAUACAUGUACAUGUGGUAGAAGAUUAUGAAUAGUUAAGCAUAGAUCAACUCAGUAUUAAAUCCAAAUUCCAUAAACAGUCCUUUAAUUACUUGUAGUUUCUAAUCUCAUCCUCUCCUGGCAAACGUUAUUAAAAAAAAAGCAAAAGAGAGACAUCCCAUUUAAUUUAGAAGUUGUUUCUCAUUUAAGACUUGUUUGAUAAUGAGAUAUAGUAACUUUUAAUUUACAGUUACGACAAAAAGAAAAAAAGCUAUAAUUAUGAAAUAAUUUUUUUAAAAAAUAAAGAGACUAUUAAUCGACUAGUACUUAGUAUUUUACUGUUGUAGGUUUUAAGUCACUGAUGCCCAACCUCCGUAAGAAAUAGAAUCUUAAUUUAUUUCGCUUCUUUGAGGGUUUGAUAAAGAGAUAUUUGACCUGUUUAUAAGAAAAUAAUUGACAAGACUCUAAAAGCCAAAACAUCAAAUUUUUUCGUUAUCAGAUGGUGUAAAACAUAAAAUGAACACAAUACGCAUAUGUGGUCGGUGGAAAUAUCAAAAUUAUACUCAAAUUGAAAAUCUCAGCCAUUUGCACGCGAACUUUUGGUACAAUUGAUUGUGAAACUUGAUAUACGAAUAAAUGAACUUUUAUUUUUAAUUUCAGGAAAUGGCUAAAGUUGUUCACAUGAAUGAAUGGAAGAUUUUUUUUUUCCUUUCUCAUCUUAUUAAUCCAUCUGAACAAAAAAUUUUAUUUCCUCUAUAAAUCUGCCAUCAUGAAAAAAAAUUUGGCUGUUGUGUAAAAUUUGAAAAUCAUAGAAAAAGUAUAUCAAUAAAACAGUUUACGUAAUUUAUACUCACCAAUUAAUUAGGAAAAUGUAGUAGGUAUAACUUUCACGGAAUCAACAAGCUGAGAUAGAAAGAAGAAAAAGUGUCUAAAUUUAUUAGGCUUUGAUGAAUGUCUCACUAUGUCCGGAAAUUAACUGAGACAACAAUAAUAAAACGAUGAGAUUGAGAGACGUGAAAUUAAGGUUCAUGGUAUGUGAUAAAUGGGUAUGUUGAAUUAAUAUUAACAUUUUCGAUUAAUUGUAUAAAGUUGACUUCAGUUAUGGGCAAUAUUUUUUUUGUUUUAUUGAUAAGGGAAACGAGCCUAGCAAAAGUAGCUAAGGCUUAACAGUAAGAGGGAACGCAGUCCCUAAGGUAUCGCUACGCAGCCAGAAUUCAACACCAGGAGGGGGAAAAAGAAGACUGUGGAGCCCAAGAGGUAACGAGAGAGCAAAAGUAGCAAGAAAAUCAGGUGCGAAGUUUGCCUCACUGUAGAUAUGGUGCACAAAAACCUGCCAAUUUUGAGCGAGAAGAGCCUUGAUACUCUUGACAAGGGGAGACGAAGCAUUAAGCGUAUCAUUUUGAGCCUCCAAAAGCUAAAUCACGCAUAAGCUAUCAGCCUCAACAAUCAUCGAUCUGAUACCCCCGUUCCAUGCCAUGAGGAGACCCUGAUAAAGGCCCCACAGCUCAGCAAUUGUGAUUGAACACAGCCCAAUGUUCAUUCAAAAUCCUUCAACACAUUCUCCACAAUUGUUUCUGAUUAAGCCACCAGCAGAAGCCAAAUCCGAGGCCUUACGAGCUCCAUCCGUGUUCAACUUGAAGAAAGGCUACACAGGAGGCACGAAGCCAUAGUACAUCUCUACUCUCGUGGGCUUGUCCGUUAUGGCAAUUUAAUACAUAUUGUUAUUAAAAAGUAGUGCUAAGAGAUUAGUGUUAAAAAUUGUAUGUUUAUUAAGGGGUAAAAAUGUUAUUUUGUGCUAAUAAUAUAAUUUACGUUUGUAAAUAUGUAACAUAUUAUGAAUUUCUAAUUAUUUUUCUAAAUAUUUGAUUUUGUGUGUUUAUUAGGUAAAAAUAAUAAUUUCACACAAUUUGAGACUCCAAAUAAAUGUACGGAUGUCAAAUUUGGAUUCCGAAAGCCUGAGAAAUGAGGUCCUUGUCGAUCAGGAUCUGCGACUUUUGUUGUAAAUUUAUAAGUUGUUACCAAGGUAAAUGUGGUAAUUGUGAAAUUAUAAACUUUUACUAUAUUAGGUGUGGUAAUUGUUAGUGGCAUGUGUUAGAUGUGCUUGAGUGGAUUAAGUUAGGUUUAUGUUUUAUUAGUAUGACAAAUACAUGGUUAAGAUAUACUUAGCUUUAUUUAUUUGUGUGGUGUGGAUUAAUCAUGUAUUAGUAUAAAUAGAUAGGGGGGAACACACCUCUUCACACAUUUCCUUCUCUGCUUUCCCCUCAAAUUCUUCUUCUCAUCUCUCUUUGUAAUAAAGGGGGGAACACACCUCUUCACACAUUUCCUUCUCUGCUUUCCCCUCAAAUUCUUCUUCUCAUCUCUCUUUGUAAUAAAUUUUCAAUAAAUAAAAUUAGUUUUAUUUUCAAUUUUCAAAUACUUUUUUUCAUUAUGUUGUUUUUUUUUAAUUUUAAUAAUUCCUUUUAUUUCAAAUAUGUUUAGCUAAAUACUAAUAGUUAGGGGAAGAUGAAACUCUUAGUAAAAAAAUAGGAUUUAAACAAAUUCUAUUUUUAAUUAUAGAAAUUAAUUAUUUUCCAUCUAAUUUUAUCCAUAUUUUAUAUUUUGAAAUUUUGAUUUAUUGUAGACAAACAUGGGGUUUAGCAUAAUGAAUUUUUAAUAUCUUAGUAUAAAGUAUGGUAAACUAGUAUUUUAACUUAUUGUAAACAAAUUAAAUUUUGGUACACUAAGUACUUAGUUCGUAAUAAAAUUAUUGGGAAAAUAAUUGUAAUUUAUACAAUUAAUCAUUUGGACAAUAACCUAAAAAUAAAAAGAAUUUAUUAAAUUGUAUUUGUUACUAAGAGGGGAUCUAGAACCUAACUAAUUUAAUUUUAUAGUUUUGAUCAAAUUAAACUGCACAUUUUAAAAUUUAUUUUCAUUAUUUUAAAAUAAAAAAAAAUUAAAUAUUUUCUCUGUAGAUCGACCUCAGAUUCAGUGACUCACCGAGCUAUAGUUUAACUAGGCACUCUUACACUUGGGAGUAAAUUAAACACUUUUAAGUCGUGCACUUAGAUUAGCUUUUGCUGCUAUUUAAACCCACUAAUUUCUUCUCUAUAACUAUUUUAAAAAAUAACUUUAUCAUUAAAGUUUUAAAAUUUGAAAAUCUCGAAAUUACCCCACCAAUUACUUUCUUUCUCUACUUUACAAUUACAUACUCUCCCAUUAUUCUCAUAUAUAGUCUACAAACAAAACACUCAAUUUCACUUUCUUUUGAAUUUUUUUUAACAUUUCUUAGUAUAUUAUGAUCUAUAUUUCAUGCUUUCUGUAUAUAAGAAAUUUUUUCCUUAAUAUUCAUUAGCUUUUGUGUUUAGUAAAAAUUAAUUUCUUGAUAUUCAUUCAUUUUCAUGACUGAUAAAAAUUUGUUGAUAUUCAUUUUUAAAUGAUGGAUUUUGUUCUUCUUAGUUAGUAAUACUUAUUCUUUAUAGGUAAAAGAAUAUAUUUGAAUGGAUUGAAGAGAAUUUGUAAAAUUAAGAAGAGAAAGAGAAGAGAGGAUUAAUUAAGAAAUUUUUUAAAAAUUAUUUAGAUAAUAAAGUUCUUAAUUAAAAUGAGGGUUUAGAGAGGAAAUCGAUAAGUUCAUAUAGCUCUUCCUUAGUUUUUAGAGUGCAAAUUUUAAUACCCUUAUAGUUUUGUGUGUUAUGGCUCCUUAAGUAUGUAGUAUUACAAGCAAGUGAUCCAAAUUCAAUUUGAUAUUUGUCUUUCUACAUUCUGGUGGGGUUGUAUUGCAUAAUCGAUGCAAAGGGCUCACUCAUGUUUGGCUUACAUAUAACUCCUAAUGAGCUAGAUUCUAUCUAAAACUAAUGUUGGGGAAUUUUAAUUCCACUCAAGAUCUUGAAAAUAAAAAUAUCAAAUAAAUAAUUAAUAAAAUAUACAGAUGAAGAAUAAAAUCAAUCCACUACAAGAAAAAUGGCCUACUAUGACAGGCAAAAACGGUUAUCUUAGGGGGUGGAUGACGGUUAUCCUUACUGUCAUUGUAGCCAGCGUCAAGAAAAGAUAACAGACAGAAACCCGUCACAAGUUGUGAUAAAUUUUACCUGUCAUAAUUCAGUCAUACAACUUAUAUAAGGGAAAUUGGCUUUUUUUAAUUUUUAUGUUUUAUGAAAUUAAAACUGUAAUUAGUAUUUGUGGAUAAAAGUUGUGUGUCAAAUGUUGUGACUAGUAUUUUCAAUCACAAUUUUUUUUAAAAUUGACUAUUUAUUUUAUUUAUUAAUUUAAAAAAUAAAAAAUAUGCAAUUUUAGUUUCCUCAAUUUAAAAUUUAAAUUAUAAAUUUUAUAUCAAAGAAAAUAAAUUAAUAAAUGCAAUCAAAUCCAAAACUAAUGAACUAAAUUAGUGAACUUUAUUAUCCAUAAAAAUAUCCAAAGUACUUCUAAAUUUCAAAAACAUACAAUUGAAACUUUACAAUUCAAUAGUUAAUCAAUAUUUCAAACUCAAGCCAACAGCCAAAAAAAGCCAAUCCAAAACCAAAGCAAAGUACUCAGCAUUCAGCAACAUCCAGCACUAAAGCUAUGCAAAAUGUAGUCCUUUUCUAGCAGCAAAAUCCAGCAGCCCCCAAGCCAAGAAAGAAGUAUCCCAUUUCAUCAAUUGAAAAUAUUAAGUGAAAUAUAAGCAUUUACACAUGAAAAUAUUAAGAAUAACAUCUACAAAAAGGAAAAAAAAUACAAGUAAUAAUAGAAUACGAAAAUACUCAGUGAAAACUAAGGCGAGACCCCUUUUUUCCCUUCUCUGGAGUAAGGCACUAAAAGGGAUUAAAGAAAUUAUGAUUGUGUUCCACACCUGGAGCUGGUAGAGACAAACUCUGGUCAUGUAAUAUUUGCCUUGGCACCGUUUGAAUAUGUCUAUAUUAGUAUCCACAAAUUCAAGGAAGAUGAUUGGCCUACCUCUUACAUAUAUCAUAUUCAAGUCCAAACAGCUUUAUUCCUCGUGGGAUUUAUUUGAUCAAAUUAAUAGUUCAGGAUGAAAAAUGGUUAGAACCUCACAGUCAUCAAAAGUUACUGUCUCAUAAUUCAUUUUAGUGCUUAUAACACAGAGGAAAUAAAAUAAAAUAUCUAAACAUACAUUUAUCAUGUAUGUAAACAUUUUUUUUCUUUUCUUUAAAUACAGAGAGGACAGUAGUUAGUUAUUUAAUUGAAAGGAUGCAUAGAAAGUUUCUUUAAACCAAUACUAGUGGUUAAGUCUCAAAAAGAAAUAUUAGUCCAAAUUCAUUACUUCCAAUCAAGCAAAAGCAUGCAGUAUCAAACAGGAAAUGCAUCCUCAGGACCCAUAAGCCAAUUUGUACUCCAUUACUAUCAAUUUCCUAGCUGGUCAAUUUUUUAUUUUUUAUUUUUAUUUUUUUGUGGGUAUCUCUUAGGUAUCGAAAGUCAAACCCUAAGUAAUCAAACAAAUUCAGAUAGUGCUUACCCAAUACAAGAUAUUGGAGAUUAAAUCCAAGAGUAACGGAAUGCAGAAAGUACCUUUUUUGAAGAAAAUGUCAGUGACGUCUUUCGAAGGUAAGGGUCCCAGUAAACAACAGGAUCCACUUUCUGAUUCAGCACAACAUUUCCACAUUUCCAAUCAAGGGAGCUUGAUAAAUACUGGAUGAUGUUAAGACCAAAAUCAGUUUUAAACGAUUUGUCUUCCAAGAUCGUACAACACGCAGGGAAAAUGCCAGUGAGUGGGUGAUCAUAUCUCUUCCUCCAGCGAGGAUAUUAUUAUAUAUACAUAUAUAUGCACACUAUAAAACUACUGAUCAUACAUUCAUCCAUUAAUAAUUUUUAUUUUAAUCGUCUGCACAAAUUAAAGGGAAAUGAUCAGCCUAUCCUCGACCUCAAGCAUGCACCAAUAGCAUUACAAAUAAUUAAACUUUUCUCCAAUCAAAUUUCUUAACUAGCUAAUAGGAAUGAUAAUUAGUAAUAAUAAGAGAUUAAUUAGAAACUUCAAAGAAAUACAACGUGUGCAUAAGAUUUAAUUCCUCAGUUCAUGUUUUUCUAAUAAUUUCAAGAUAACUAGCUUAUUUAUUUAUCAGCACAAGAUGAAGUCAUUUUAACUAUAUGUAUCUACUUUUACAAGCUAGGUAGGAGUACUAGAACUAUUGUUUAUGAAAUUAUAUUUAUAAAUAAAUACUUGUGUAUGCAUGUGAUCAAUAUAUAUAUAUAUAUAUAUAUAUAUAUAUAUGCACACACACAAAUUACAAGAUUGAUUGAUCGGGCUGAUGGAUAUAUCUAUGUAUGCAUGCAUUUAUUCCUUAGUUUUUUUCUUUAAAUUAAAUUGUAAUUCUCAAAAAAGAAAAAGAAUAAUCACAGCAACAGGCAUUUAGUCCUUAGUUUUGGAGGAUCUGUCCUUCUCCUUCCUCUGUCCUCCAAGAAUACGAGAAAUCUGUAAACCUUUAUGCACUAAAUACUUAGUUGAACAACAUUCUUGUUUGAAAUUCUAAAACAAAUGGGAACCACGCCAAGAAUGCAACCGGGGUGAAUAGAAGCAAUCCCAUCACUAUUUCAUAACCAUGAGCAAGUGUCCUAACUGAUCCCCAAAUUCCACCAUGUUGUAUCACUGGCUUACAAGCUUGUAAGAUCUAUAUACAGUUCCACGCAUCCAUAAAAAGAAAAAAGAUUACUUAUUAGAAAAGCCCCAAUGAUAAGCAAGCCUGGUCAAUAUCCCAACACCCAUCACGAUUAAAUUGGCAAGGAUCUUCAUAGCCUAAAUCAAAUUUAAUGAUAAAACUAUAAUAAUUGAAUUCCAAAAAAAAUCAAAUAAAUGUUUAAAAUUUCAAAAAUAAUUAAACAUAAAAUACCAAUCAAGUAGAUCCAAAUUUAACAAGAGCACACCGAGGAUUUUCAAAUUUUACAUGUAUAGGGUUUAAAUUUGAUGACAACACAUCUAGGGUUUUCAAGAUUUAGGUGUCUAGGGUUCGAAUUUGACAAGAACACAUCUAGGUUUCUCAAGUUUUACAUAUCUAGGGUUUGAGUUUGACAAGAACAUUAAAAUUGAAAUGGAACACAACACUAGAAACAUUAUUUACCUGUAUUAUUCAAACGAUUGCAGCAGUGGGUGAGUGAAUGAAACGACCCUCCCCGAACCCCAGGGUAAGUGUAUCUAACCUCAUCCAAACUGGAUUGAUAAUAAUCUAAUUAGUAAGGAUUUUGCCAAAAAAUCGACAGUCUCUUUUAUAUAUAUAACACUCCCAACCUGCAAAUAUAUAAGACAAGCACUCCCAAUAUAAUUCAAUACACAACAAACUCCAACGUUCAACAUCCUCAACCACAACACUGAGCUUUACUCAAGAUAUCUCCAGAAUCUCAAAAGAUAAUAUUAUAACUAAUAUUAAUAUCUCAGUUUAUUCUUAAUCCCAAAAGAAUAAUAUAACAAAAUUAUACAAUCCCAAAAGAACGAGAUAACCAAGAUGUCCUAACAAAAUCAUCUAUAUCUUCUAACACCAUCACGUGGCCAAUACUCAAAAUAUAUUUACAGUCGUUGGGUUGGUCUAAUGUACCUGCAACCUCCUGAUGGGGGGGAGGAAUAUAAUAAAAAUGGAGUGAGUAUAAAACUCAGUGAGAUCAGUGAGUGGAUAGUAGUUUUUAAAAAUCAAUUAUUACUUCAAAAGAAAUAAUCAUAUCAUUUCCAAACACGAUUUCAUCAAACCAUAUGCGAGAAACCAGUAAUAAAUCAUUUAACAUUUAAAUCAAAUUACUAACAAUGAAAAGCAUAUAGAAUACACAAAUCUGAAAAUCAUCACCAAACAAGUACCCAGGGAAAUAACCUCGUCAUAUUCGGACCUCAACGGACGGGCAAUGACGUACUAUCUAGGUACCGUCACGCCCCGGAGCUACACGGAUAGACAGGGAAAUAUCAUCUCAUAUCUCAUCAUAUCUGUGCAUACAUAAUCUAGUUCCCAAGGGAUAAAAGCACCCAAGCACACAGCCCAAAGCCUCUGUGUGUGCUCAGACGGGCCCCAAAGGCCUAUAUCUCAUAUGUAUUAUAUGUAUCUCAAUAUCUGUCUAUAUCUCAUAUUUGUAUAUUUGUAAUCAUCAUACUGCAUGCAUAUGCCCCCAAAAGACAAAAAUGCUCAAACACACGGUCCAAAGCCUCUAUGUGUGUUCAGAUGGGCUCCAAAGGCCUCUCAUCUCAUAUCAUGUGUAUCACUAUAUCUGGAAGGGAAUGGUAUUGUCUAAUGAUUUCAAAAACAAUCAUUAUACUCAUAUUCACAUACCUUUUACCCAUACUUUAAAUCAUAUCACAUUUGAAUCCACUUUUCUUAUCUUUAAAAUACUAUCAUGCUUAUUCAAAGUCGAUACGCAAAAUCAUUAACCAAACAUUUUAAUAAAAUACCAAUGCGUGAAUAAAAUCUAUUUCAAGGGAAUCAUUAAAUCAGAACAUUUAAAAUACUUAUUUCUCAAAUAUGCUUUACUAUUAUAAUUAACUAUGAAAUUAAGUUUUGUAUAUUCCACUCACAGUGACGGUGUUCACGCUCGUUAUCGUCCACGUCCGCGGACCGAUUCUCGCUUGCGAAUCCCCCUAAAUUAUGGAAACGACAUAAUUAUUUUCUGUAAAUCGAAAUUACGACUAAAUUUAUGCAAUAAACUCGAAACGAAAUUCGAUCCAUAAUUUACAACUCUCGUGUCGAUAAAAUUACUAAAAUACCCUUGAGUUCGUAAAUCAUUAACAUACUCUGAAAUCGUAAAUCACCGAAUUACCCUCGGAAUCAUAAUUACACCCAAUCCUCAAUUCUAGGAAUUACUAAAAUAUCCACAGGCUCAUACUAAAAUAUCCACAGGCUCAACGGAAUCAUAAUUACACCCAAUCCUCAAUUCUAGGAAUUACUAAAAUAUCCACAGGCUCAAAAAUUACAAAAUUGCCCUUAUAGUGUGAAAUUACCGAAAUGCCCUUCCAGGUCAAUGGUCACCAAAAUUUAGUCAACGCUGGCCGAGAAGGUCAAGUCUGAAAUUUAUGGUCACACUGAGUCCAACGGUGGCAGUGGUGACCUCCCACGCGCGGUGAUGGCUCCGGAUCGAGCUCCCAAAGUUGUAACUCCUUCAACCGAUCAACGGCAAAACGAUGUCCCUGGUGGCAGUGGAUGGUCGUAAAUGGAAGAGGGAGUCUCGGGGAACAAAAUCCAACCGGUGGUGUUACCCAAAAUCGGCGAAAAUCCCAGUGGAGCAAAGUGGAAAAGUCGAGGGUUUUCAAGCUUUGGUCGCCGGCAUUUUGGUUGUUUUUCGGUGACGUGGACGGCAAGGGUAUAAUGGCCGGUCUUCAAGCUUCAAAUUGGUACCAAGCUUGACCGGAACGGUGGCCAGAAAUGGAAGUUACGACCGAGUCAAGGUCGCGGGUUCCAGGUCGGGUUUGAUAGCUUCUCUCUCACUCUCUCACACGUGUGUCUCUGUUUUGCUCUGUUUUCCAACUUCCUCUUUUACUUAUUCUAACUUUUUAACCACCUCAUUUUAUUCCUUUAUUUAAUUCACAUAUGUUACAGUGAAGGUUCUCAGUUAGGGUAUUGAAAUUCAAUAGUGGCAGAACACGCGUUUGAUAGGCACUCCUUGUAGUUCUUGGUGAGGGCCUAAAUCAACGGUGAAAUACAAGAGAAUGUCGGCGGCAGUUCAGUGCCUAUGCAAGGAUUUUGGGCGAAAAGGGCUUUGUGAGCGUAAGAUUGAUGAGAGUGACUAAGCAAGAGACAAGAGUAAAAGUGCCAAUACUCACUGAGAAAAAAAAAUUACGAUGAGUGAUAACUAAAGAGGGUUUCAUUUUUAUUUAGUUUUAAUCUAAACGGUGUCGUUCCUUGUUUAAAGAGAAAACUUUUAACCCAAAUGGUACUGUUUAUUCUUUAUUUAUCUUUUUCAUUCAUUUUAAAAUUUUCAGUCAACCCUGCAAAAUAAACUCAAAAUAAAAAUAUUGUUUGACGACCAAAAUUAUAUCACAAACUUGUCAUUGUUUUUUGAUAGCCAAAUAAUUUAUCACUAGUCUAUCAUAAGUGCUUGAUAGAUGAAAUUUAUAUCACAAGUAUGUCAUAAACGCAUGACAAAAAAAAAAUAUCAUCGAUCUAUCGUUGUAACUCUCAACACCAAAAACUGUCACAUAAAGGACUGUCAUAAUAGGUCCUUUUUCUUGUAGUGAUCAAACAAUACAAAAAUUUAUGAAAAAAACUCUUGUACCAGAGAAAAUCAUGCAACUAAGGACAAUGAGGGAAAAAUUUACUACAUGGAAAAUUAUUGCAAUUACUUGAGUAUUUUCCUCAAACCCCAAAUCCUAAUAACACUCAUUCUCUCAAUAGUCUUAUUGUUUCUCUUACAUUAGAAAUUGUCUACUUGCUUAUUUUUAUAUGACCAAGCAAACCAAACAUCCUCAUAUACAGUGAUUAUUUCUUAUAGGAGAAGUUUUUAUUUCCUUAUAUAAAUUAUAUUCCUCUUUGAAUAAGUUAUGUCCCAAAUGAGGAAUUUCUUAUUCCUCAAAUAUGAAUUCUCCAAAAUAAGAAAAUAGCCUUGAAAACCCUUAUACUGGAAAAAGGAGACAUAUUUCCUAACAAUCUCCACCUUAACAAGUUUUUUGAUUAAGUGAAAAAAAAAAUAUAUAAUCCACCGUGUAUCCACACAAGCAUGUUGUCUGCAUCUUCUUUCCUCCACCAAAAUCACAUUCAUAUAGGGCUUAUGAGAAUCACUCUAUCAUGGGUAAAAUCUUGUCACGACUAUAAUUCUCCACAUUGAAAAUCAUCAUACUCCACUUUAUAUAGAGUACACAUAUUCAGCACAUCUCGGUCACCUUGCUGAAAAUCCUACUCUCAUGUUUGGCUUCCUUAAGAGUCAUCAACCAUUAACAUAAAAAUUCUACCAUACACCUUGUAUAAAUGUCAAACUAUGUCUUGCGUGUAAAUUUAUGGACCUGCUAGCAGUAACACAUUCUCUUUCAUGACACGCCAAAAAGGAUAAAUUAGUCUCUCGUGAAGAAAAGAGACACACCACUAGAUGAGAUUACUAGUAUUUCCAUCUACUAAUUUAAAUCUACUUGCCAAACCUGCCUCAUUCCAACAAUCUUUAUUAAGAUGCCUUGAUUGUCUACACACCUCUAGGAGUUUCCAUCAGUGGGAACAUGGUUUACAUCGUCUUUACUUUCAUUGUUUAACAUAGAUUGGAUAAACAUAUAUCUUUGACUUCAAUCUGUCCCAAGCCAAAACUUUUUCUCCCAUUAAACUUUCUAUUUUACCUUCACAAGUUUUGAAACCCUCUUUGCUGAUAUAUUUGCUCUGCAUUGCAACCUUAACUUUAAUACCACUUGUUACAAAAUUUUAAUUCGAUCCAAGAUCUUGCAAGUAAAAAUAUCAAACAAAUAAUAAAUAGAAAAUACAGAUGAAGAAUAAAACUAAUUAUACAACAUAAGAAUUUUAAAUGGAAACUCUAAUACAGGAGAAAAACUAUACUGUAAAAAAAAAAGACAUAAAAUUUUAUUAUGUGAAAAAUUAUUUCAACUACUCUGGCAUUUUUCUCACAGCCAAAACUCCAAUAACACUAAAUCUCUCAAUAGACAUAUUGUUUCUCUCACAUUCAAAAUUGUUCACUUGCUAAUUUUUAUAUAACAAGUGAACCCAACCUCCUUAUAUAUAAUGAUUAUUUAUUUCUUGUAGGAAAAAUGUUCAUUUUCCUUGUACAAGUUGUAUUCCUCUUUAAAUAAGUUAAGUCUUAAAGGGAAAGUUACUUAUUCCUUAAAUUGGAGUCCUCCAAAAUAAGAAAAUAAUAUAGAUAAGAAAUUCUUAUUAAAAAAAGAAAACAUAUUACUUAACACCUAUGCAGUGGUAAAGAAUCAACCGCAACACUAUUUUUGUUUACCUUAUAUCUACCAUCAAAGCUUCGGUAGGAUUAAAUAUAAAGGUAAAUUUUUCUGCACACGCAUUAAAAUCGACAUAAACAAUUUACUACUCUUCCCCAAGAAUUAUGAGAAUAGGCUAUGAACAAUCUUUUAGAAUUUCUAAGUAUUGACAGCUCUGACUCAAUAAAAUUACAAUUAUACUCCCUAACCGGAAUAAUUAUGAAAAAAUGACAUAAAUGCCCAAACCUUUAUUUUAAUUUCAUUUCUCACCCAUUAUCUUUCUCUCUCCUCUCUCUAAAUAAUGCUCUCCAGUUAAAAAAUUAUGGAUGUUUCAUUCUAAUGGAUUAUAUUUUCACAAUUUAUUUUUCUUUCCCAUUUUCCUUUUCAUGUCCUUUGAAUCAGUUAGUUACGACGGACUAACAAAUUAAAGAAGCAUUGGACUGGGAUUAGGCUUUGAACGUCGAGUGGUCAUAACUUGAAGGCAUGUAAUCAGAAAUGUAAAAUGAAUGCUUUUAAGCUCGAAAUUCAGUACAGUUUUUGACUAUUGGCACACCUCUAACUUUCUCGUCAAACCCCUUUUCUAUAGAUAUCCUUUUUAAUUCUUAAAAUAACCUCAUUUGCUAUACUUUCUUAAUAAACCACUGCAUAGGACGAAAAAACAAAAACUUCUAUCAAUGAGCUCUCUCUCUCCCCUCUCCCAUUUCAAGCACUUACAAUUUCUUAUUGACUAUAGCAUUCAUGAAUUUCUGAUUUUAAUCUCUAUCUAUCUUUAUUUUUCUUAGUAGGUAAUAACUUGAUUAUGUAUACAAAGACAAGUAUAUGCAUAUCUGAAAGAAAAACUUGGCGUAAGUAAAUAAAUUUCACCGAAUAAUCUUUCCUAAAAUAACUUAGUUUAUAUUUAGAUCAAAUUCUUAUCUUAUGAGAAUUCAUUGUUUUCUCAAAUUUUGUAGAUUUUAAAGUGUUUUAGAAUGGAGAAAAAAACUAAGAAAACAACAUAGGUUAGUUUAAUCAGAUAAGUUUUAUUUUUAAUAUAAUUUAAAAUAUAAAGAAUAAAUUUAUAAAUAUAAAAUAAGUGGAAUUUCAUAAGAGAUAUAGAGGAGUGCGAAUAGCGCCACUCUUUUAUUUAACUCAUUAACAAUAACAAAGGCAGCAGUUUUUCUUUUUUUUUAAUCUUUUUUCCCCCAGAAACGACACUUUUCAUUGAUUGGAAAGCAAAGAACAAACGAAAGCUGCUUUUCUUCCAGCCAAACAAUCUCAAUUUAAACUAUUAAUUGGAAGUUUUAACUAAGGCACCAAAUUAAAAUAAAUAAAUAAAAUUACUUAAGGCACAAUCCUGUGACUUUUUAGCCUACCAAUCCAAGUGACGAAGGAAUUCUUAGAAUUCCUGAAACCCAAGAACCCGUGCUCCUUACUCUUGUUCAUGCUAACUAAAUAACCCGCACCAAUAUUCAACCCCAUAUCUGCAUAUGACCAAACAGCAACCUCAUUCAAUUUCGUUGGCUGAAGCUGAUUCUCUCUCACAAUCUCCUCCCACACACUUUCUUUACCUUUCAUAAAUUCCCCCAAUCUCAUCCUCUCACUAUCCUUUUCAUCUCCAAACCCAUAAUUCUCAAUCUCAAACUGCUCAGCCAACGCUUUCCAUAAAUGCUUCCACUUAAAAACAUCUCCAUUGGUACAAUUGAAAGCUUCG
rnacentral:lncRNA from 1 species